GCCUGGGGAGUACGGCCGCAAGGUUAAAACUCAAAUGAAUUGACGGGGGCCCGCACAAGCGGUGGAGCAUGUGGUUUAAUUCGAUGCAACGCGAAGAACCUUACCUGGUCUUGACAUCCACGGAAGUUUUCAGAGAUGAGAAUGUGCCUUCGGGAACCGUGAGACAGGUGCUGCAUGGCUGUCGUCAGCUCGUGUUGUGAAAUGUUGGGUUAAGUCCCGCAACGAGCGCAACCCUUAUCCUUUGUUGCCAGCGGUCCGGCCGGGAACUCAAAGGAGACUGCCAGUGAUAAACUGGAGGAAGGUGGGGAUGACGUCAAGUCAUCAUGGCCCUUACGACCAGGGCUACACACGUGCUACAAUGGCGCAUACAAAGAGAAGCGACCUCGCGAGAGCAAGCGGACCUCAUAAAGUGCGUCGUAGUCCGGAUUGGAGUCUGCAACUCGACUCCAUGAAGUCGGAAUCGCUAGUAAUCGUGGAUCAGAAUGCCACGGUGAAUACGUUCCCGGGCCUUGUACACACCGCCCGUCACACCAUGGGAGUGGGUUGCAAAAGAAGUAGGUAGCUUAACCUUCGGGAGGGCGCUUACCACUUUGUGAUUCAUGACUGGGGUGAAGUCGUAACAAGGUAACCGUAGGGGAACCUGCGGUUGGAUCACCUCCUU
rnacentral:rRNA from 1 species